GUCGUAACAAGGUUUCCGUGGGUGAACCUGCGGAAGGAUCAUUAAUUAAUCGCGAAAGGGGCCGGGUUGCCCUACACCCCUUCUGGGGGGUGAUAUGGUGGGCAACUGGCCCCGCUUUUGAUUAUAUCCCAUCUGUGAACUUUUCCACUGUUGCUUCCGUGAGCCUGUACUUUGCUCUCUUUGAGAGUUGGAGUACCUGAAAAGCCCUGGUUCUACCAGGGGCGCACGGCAAUGGUACCACAACUCUGGUUUUAUGCUGUAUAAGUCUGAGUGGUUAACACACAAACAAGUUAAAACUUUCAACAACGGAUCUCUUGGUUCUCGCAUCGAUGAAGAACGCAGCGAAAUGCGAUAAGUAGUGUGAAUUGCAGAAUUCAGUGAAUCAUCGAAUCUUUGAACGCACAUUGCGCCUCCUGGUAUUCCGGGAGGCAUGCCUGUUCGAGCGUCAUCAAACACAUCCUCAAGCAUUUUUGCUUGGUCCUGGAGGAAGANGGUCUCUCGACUAUCCCCUCUGGAAUUCCUCAGCAGAGACGACAGCAGCCUCAGGUGUGAUAAUUCUACCUCGCUUGAGUGUUACUGUGGGCUCCCGCUGGAGAAUAGCCCCCCAGCUUUUACCAUGUUUGACCUCGGAUCAGGUAGGGAUACCCGCUGAACUUAAGCAUAUCAAUAAGCGGAGGAAAAGAAACCAACAGGGAUUGCCUUAGUAACUGCGAGUGAAGCGGCAAAAGCUCAAAUUUGAAAUCUGGUACCAUUCGGUGCUCGAGUUGUAAUUUGGAGAGGCAACUUCGGAGAGGGCGUUGGCCUAAGUUCCUUGGAACAGGACGUCAUAGAGGGUGAGAAUCCCGUGCUUGGCUGACUGUCCCUCUUCAUGUGAAGUGUCUUCGACGAGUCGAGUUGUUUGGGAAUGCAGCUCAAAAUGGGUGGUAAACUCCAUCUAAGGCUAAAUAUUGGCGAGAGACCGAUAGCGCACAAGUAGAGUGAUCGAAAGAUGAAAAGCACUUUGAAAAGAGAGUUAAAAAGUACGUGAAAUUGUUGAAAGGGAAGCGCUUGAGACCAGACUCGGUGAUAGGUGAUCAGCGGUUGCUUUUGCUCCGUGCACUUGCCUUUUACCGGGCCAGCAUCAGUUACAGCGGUGGGAUAAAGGCUCAGGGAAUGUGGCUCCCUUCGGGGAGUGUUAUAGCCCUGGGUGUAAUGCCACCUGUUGUGACUGAGGACCGCGCUUCGGCUAGGAUGCUGGCAUAAUGGUCUUCAGCGACC
rnacentral:rRNA from 1 species